UAGGGAAUCUUCGGCAAUGGGGGGAACCCUGACCGAGCAACGCCGCGUGAGUGAAGAAGGUUUUCGGAUCGUAAAGCUCUGUUGUUAAGGAAGAACGAGUGUGAGAAUGGAAAGUUCAUACUGUGACGGUACUUAACCAGAAAGGGACGGCUAACUACGUGCCAGCAGCCGCGGUAAUACGUAGGUCCCGAGCGUUGUCCGGAUUUAUUGGGCGUAUAGCGAGCGCAGGCGGUUAGAUAAGUCUGAAGUUAAAGGCAGUGGCUCAACCAUUGUAGGCUUUGGAAACUGUUUAACUUGAGUGCAGAAGGGGAGAGUGGAAUUCCAUGUGUAGCGGUGAAAUGCGUAGAUAUAUGGAGGAACACCGGUGGCGAAAGCGGCUCUCUGGUCUGUAACUGACGCUGAGGCUCGAAAGCGUGGGGAGCGAACAGG
rnacentral:rRNA from 1 species